UUAUUUUUGAAUUUUAUUUUCCAUUUCCAUCACUUAUGUAUUUUCCGCUUUCCCUGGCAUAAAUUUUAAAUUUUCAAUAAAAUUUUACAACACUCAUGCAACUGGGUAAGAUAUUUUCGUAGUUAGUUUUUGAUUUUGUUUGUAAGAUAUCAUCAUCCAUGGUUGUGGUUGUUUUGUAACGUUUCAAACAUAGUAUAAAUACGUAAUAUUAAUGUCUAAUCUGUCUAUGGCUUCAAUUUUCUGAAUCUUCUUCAUGAAUAAUAAUUGCAGUGAUUAUAUUUCGAAAGGUUGCGUAACAAUUUUCGUUACUCGAUUCCCUCGCUGAGAUUGGUGUUUCAAUUCCCUCUGCUCUUACUUCGUAGCAUCGCCAGAAGUCUGUUCUGCAACACUGCAACUGCUUAAAGUGCUAUAGUUCUGCUGUCAUCGAAAUCUUUUUAAAAUGGUUGGCGUAACACAAGAGAAUAUAAAAUCUGAAGUUACAGGAUCACCUGCGGAAGUUGAUAGACUGAAAGCGGACAUCGAUAGAUUGAAAGAAGAGAUUAUCGAAUCGAAUAAACAGAUCGUUCAUUUGAAAGCAGAUUUGAGGGUCACUAAUGGACUUCUCUCGAAUACACAGAAACUGCUUUCGAAGACGAGUGCAGAAAAUGGACAACUUUCAGCAAAAAUGGAGCACACUAAGGCGUGUGCUGAGCUCUCCGAAUUUCUGUUAUACCUGAAAGAACAGAUCUUCAUGUUCGAGACGCACUACUGUGCUAUGAAUUUUCCGACUGAAGAUUCAUUCGUCGCUUCUGUACAGAAAAUCGAACCUGCUAUUGAGAUUUCAGAUAUUACCGAAGGUGUUCAUUUCCGAAAAUGGUUAUGGUUUAUGGUUGCUGGCGGCGAUCAUUUGUGUAUGGGAUUAAGCGAUAUUAGAUCAGCUCUGAAUAAUGAUCCGAAACAAUACGUUUGGUUUGCCACCCAGAUGGAAACCUUGUUUUCAGUGUUGAGUGACGACGUUCGUGGUAUAUCACCACUCCAAAUUCGCCACAUGACAAAAGCAAACUUUCCCAAUUACGUAACAAUUUUUAAUCAAAAUGUUCGCGUUGCGGUUACCUAUUUUUGGGAUUAUUUAAUUAACUUAGAUUGAACAGUAUGCUGCUGGUGUUACAAUGAUUACUUACGUUAUAGAUAUACGUUUCCGAAAAAUAUGAGUCUUUUUAUUCCUUAUUUUAGACUAACUUCAUCUUUUAUUUUUGUACAUCGGUGUAACGUGCACGUGCUCAAGUUUCUGUUGAUAUUGUAGAAUCAAUGAAUAUUAUAAAUGCAUUGUUACAAAGUUCUAA